rnacentral:rRNA from 1 species
GGCGAACGCUGGCGGCGUGCCUAAUACAUGCAAGUCGAGCGAAGUUUUUCUGGUGCUUGCACUAGAAAAACUUAGCGGCGAACGGGUGAGUAACACGUAAAGAACCUGCCUCAUAGACUGGGACAACUAUUGGAAACGAUAGCUAAUACCGGAUAACAGUAUUUCUCGCAUGAGAGAUAUUUAAAAGUUGGUUAUGCUAACACUAUGAGAUGGCUUUGCGGUGCAUUAGCUAGUUGGUGGGGCAAAGGCCCACCAAGGCGACGAUGCAUAGCCGACCUGAGAGGGUGAUCGGCCACACUGGGACUGAGACACGGCCCAGACUCCUACGGGAGGCAGCAGUAGGGAAUCUUCCGCAAUGGGCGAAAGCCUGACGGAGCAACGCCGCGUGAGUGAAGAAGGAUUUCGGUUCGUAAAGCUCUGUUGUUAGGGAAGAAUGGAUAUGUAGUAACUAUACAUGUAAGAGACGGUACCUAACCAGAAAGCCACGGCUAACUACGUG